rnacentral:lncRNA from 1 species
AGACAGGAAAUAGGAUCUUAGUGGGUGGCCGCCAAGAGCGCACAGACUUUGAAGCAGGAAAAGACAGUCUCUAGAGCAACAUGGAAAGGAUCCAGGUAAGGGAGCUUCUGUCGUCAGGGCCACAUUGGCACCAAGGGGGUGCAGCAGAGGGGCUGACUUAGAAGAAGGCUAGUUUCUUCCCAAUGCCACCCUAUUCCACCACCCCACCACCCACGUUCUAAAUGGUUUUGCGGAAGUGAAUUGCUUAAUUUCCCAUCUUUUAGCCUUUAAAACAUAUUUUUCUCCCUCAAGUAUUUGUUUUCAGGCAAAAGCAAGCCUCCAAAAGCCCCUUGGUUCUUCUCUGUGUGUCUCGCCCCUUCUGCCUUGUACACCAGACUGCCGGCAAGCAAGCGGGGAGGUGGCGAACAGCUGGGAUCCUCCAGUGAAAAGUUUGCUCAGCGCGAGAGAUGUCAAGAGGCUGGGAUUGUCGCCUAUCGGGAGAAGAAUUCCACAGAUGAAUUGGUUCUGCCCUGUAUCUUUGAAUGGUUUUUAUUUUCUGAUGUCCAGUGUGGCAGCCUGGCAGAGACAUUUAGUUGAAAGAACACGGGGCUCUGGAAACAACCAGUCCUCCUUGGUUCAUAUUCUCGUGUUGUCACUUAUUAACCGAGUGACAUUGGAGGUGAUAUGCUGCAGUUUAUCACUGAGGUCCUGAGAUGGUCCAUACUCUAAGCUUUGUGUCUACUGUGGGGGGCAAAGGGAAAACUUCCCCCUUGCUCUCUGAAGAGUCAUUGAAAAUCAACUGACAAAAGAAUCUAAAAUAUUCCUGGAAAUGGAGAGUCCUGACAUGAUGGCCCCAUGAUGAAAAGAACCCAGGUUCCUGAGUCACGACGUGGACAUGAGGCACCAAGGAGAAAACACGUGAACCUUAAUAAGUUUGGGGGUACACCUCCUUGCCAUGUGUUACCUUCUGUCAUGUUAUGAUGCAGCAAGAAGGCCCUAAUCAGUGGUAGUCCCUCAGUCCUGGACUUCUCAGCCUCCAGAACU